rnacentral:rRNA from 1 species
UGGGGAGUGACAGCUGUCGAAAGAUGGUUUUCUUCGGACACUCUUCAAGGUGCUGCAUGGUUGUCGUCAGCUCGUGCCGUGAGGUGUCGGGUUAAGUCCCAUAACGAGCGCAACCCUUACCGUUAGUUACCAUCAGGUUAAGCGUGGGGACUCUAGCGGGACUGCCACCGUAAGGUGAGAGGAAGGUGGGGAUGACGUCAAAUCAGCACGGCCCUUAUGUCCAGGGCUACACACGUGUUACAAUGGCCGGUACAAAGGGCAGCUACUUCGCGAGAAGAUGCUAAUCUCGAAAGCCGGUCUCAGUUCGGAUCGAAGUCUGCAACCCGACUUCGUGAAGCUGGAUUCGCUAGUAAUCGCGCAUCAGCCAUGGCGCGGUGAAUACGUUCCCGGGCCUU